rnacentral:rRNA from 1 species
UACGAACUGUGCAAACGUUAUUCGGAAUCACUGGGCUUAAAGGGUGCGUAGGCGGCUUGUUAAGUAGGGUGUGAAAUCCCCCGGCUCAACCGGGGAAUUGCGCCCUAAACUGGCGAGCUGGAGUGAGAUAGGGGUGUGUGGAACUUCCAGUGGAGCGGUGAAAUGUGUUGAUAUUGGAAGGAACGCCAGUGGCGAAAGCAACACACUGGGUCUCAACUGACGCUGAGGCACGAAAGCCAGGGGAGCAAACGGG